rnacentral:tRNA from 1 species
GAGGGUAUAGUUCAGUAGUAGAGCAUAUGCUUAGUAUGUAGCAGGUCCUGGGUUCAAUCCCCAGGACCUCCA